rnacentral:lncRNA from 1 species
AGGCCUGUUACAGCAAUACCCCACUCCCAGUACCAACUUCUGUCUUAGUUAGGGUUUUGCUUCUGUGAACAGACACCAUGACCAAGGCAACUCUUAUAAAGAACAUUUAAUUGGAACUGGUUCAGUACAGUGUCAUCAAGGUGGGAGCAUGGCAGCAUCUAGGCAGGCAUGGUGCAGGAGAAGCUGAGAGUUCUACAUCUUCAUCUGAAGGCUGCUAGCAAAAUAUUGACUUCCCUGCAGCCAGGAUAAGGGUCUUAAGCCCACACCCACAGUGACACACCUACUCCAACAGGGCCACACCUUCUAAUAGUGCCAAUCCCUGGACUGAGCAUAUACAAACUAUCACAAAUAUGAUCAAAAUACAUUGUAUAAAGUCCUCAAUUAAUUUUUGUUUUGUUUGUUUUUUGAGACAGGAUUUCUCCUUGUAGUCCUGAGUGUCUUGGAAUUCACUAUGUAGACUAUGCAGAUCUCUGUGAGUUUGAGAUCAGCCUAGUCUACAAAGUGAGUGCCAGGACAGCUAGGGAGUUAUACAGAUAAACCCUGUCAC